GACGUGGGUAGAAUGCAGUUGCCUAGUGGUCUUAUAUAAUAUAGAGACCCUUGCAUCCAAAUAUUUGCCUCCAUACAUCUUUCCUUUGUAGAAGAUAUCAUAUAUGCACAGAAAUAAACACACCGAUGGUACCGUGUUCUUCGAUUGUGAUCUCAAACCUACAUUCAAGCUUUCUUCAUUCAAGAUCUGGAUGAUGAAGAAGAAUCUUUGGGAACUAAAAGAACAGGCGCUUCCGAAAUGCUACAGGCUCUAAGAGAAGCCGAGCUGCUAAACUUUAUAAUUUGUCUAAAAGGAUUUACUUUUGAGGUAUCUUUGGUUGGACAAUGGGUGAGCUACCUAGCUUUUGGAUAAUACUUUUCAGUAGUUAAUGUGAAGAAAAGGGGAAAAGGGGCAUAGGAGAAAACAUGAAGUGGCUGCAGUAAAUAUGUUGGGAAGUAUAACCACAAUGAAGUAUGAUGAAUACUCCCCAUAUUGAGGUAUCGAUUUUCAUGACACUGUAAGUGAGCCCCAAGUUCCUGCAAUGAAGAUCCCUUUGGUUUCACUAUGGCUUUCUUGAAUGAAAAUGGAAGUGUCUUUGCAUAUCAAUGCAAAGGGAAGAAAAAUGU
rnacentral:lncRNA from 1 species